rnacentral:lncRNA from 1 species
CACAGGGCUCCGAGAACCAGUGGGCACUGUGGGAUAACUACGAAACACAGGGAAGUCCCUUGCGGUAAAGUGAAAGACAGGAAGGGUAAAGAAAACAACAGCAGUCCUUUUAGGUUCGGCCAGGGCAGAGCGCCUGAGAAAGUGCCAGCGAGAGAGAGGCAGGCAGUCAGUGAAGCCACGCGCAGACUUUCUGCUCCUGCCGUCUCGUCUCUGGGAUCGGAGAGAAGAUGGGAUGAAAGGAGAGAAGAGGAGAGGAUACUAUUCUCUGGUGGUCUGCAAGCUUUGGGGCUUUUCCUUCAGCCCCGCAUGGAUGGCUUCUCUUACUUGAAAGGGGUCUAACCUGAUAACUCUGGAUUCUAAACGAACACUGAAGUAAGCCUCCUGAGGCCUUCUUCUCCUGAGAGACUUAAUGAGGGUCCUGUGGGAGAACAUCUUCUUUGCCGAGUUUAUGUCUUAAAUCCUUUUCAGGGAAAAACGACCGGAACAGAGGCCUGUGUCCUUCUGGCUGGCGGAACUCCUAGGCCUCGUCUCUCUCGCCUCCAUCUCCUGUCUGCAGGAAUCCCAGGAAUGGUCAUCAGUGCCAGAUUUGUGGCUAGCUUAUUUAUACAUAGUUUUAGGGUGCCAGAGUCGUCGUAAUCUAAACCAUCAACUAUGUCCGAUUAAAUGUGUAGUAAGUCCUAACUUCAACAUUCCUGUGAUGACAAAGCCAGGAAAAUCUCGCCUGAGCCCAGGCUGUUCUGCACUGAUCACAACCGGCUUUCUGGAGGAG